UGCGCCUGUAACAGCCUGUCUUGGCGUCGGUCGCUUGGCUUGGCGUUGGUCGCUUGGCUUGGCGUUGGUCGCUUGGCUUGGUCGUCCUCCAGUGGAUUGGCAUUUUCUCCCCUAGCGUUUCUUUGCUGGGAUUGACCUUUUCUAGACUGGGCUUGGAAUUCCCCUGCUGGGCUGGGUGUUUCCUUGGGGGAUUGGCCUUUCCCUGGGUGGGCGUGGGAUUUCCCUGGGGGUGGGCGGGGAUUCCCCCUGGGUGGGCGUGGACUUCCCCUGGGUGGGUGUGGCCUUUCAAACCUCGCUGGUCUUGGCCUCUCCCCCUGGGCUUGGCAAGGUUUUGGCUGGCCUUGUCCUUUCUCCUCUGACAGAUUGGAAACUUGGAGUUUCCUGCUUGUUGGUGAAACUUGUCGGCAGAGGCGAUUGGCUAGCUAUUACCCGGCUCCUCGGGCUGGUGGAAGCGGAUGGGGGCUGAGGUUUCUCCAAAGCCAUCUGCUCCCCCUUUGAAGAAGCCCUUUGGCCUCAGGAGCAAGAUGGGCAAGUGGUACUGCCUUUGCUUCCCCUGCUGCUGGGGGAGUGGCAAGAACAACGUGGGCGCUUGGGGAGACCACGACGACAGCGCCUUCAGGGAGCCAAGGUACCACGUCCGUCGAGAAGAUCUGGGCAAGCUCCACAGAGCUGCCUGGUGGGGUAAAGUCCCCAGAGCGGAUCUCAUCGUCAUGCUCAGGGGCCCCGGCGUGAACAAGAGGGACAAAAAGAAGAGGACUGCUCUCCAUUUGGCCUGUGCCAAUGGAAAUCCAGAAGUAGUAAAACUCCUGUUGGACAGACAAUGUGACCUUCAUGUCUUGGAUAGCAAAAAGAGGACAGCUCUAAUAAAGGCCGUACAAUGCCAAGAAGACGAAUGUGCAUUAAUGUUACUAGAACAUGGCACUGAUCCAAACAUUCCGGAUGUGUAUGGCAAUACCGCGCUACACUACGCGGUCUACAAUGAAGACAAAUUACUGGCCAGAGCACUGCUUUUGUGCGGUGCCAACACUGAAUCAGCAAACAAGAGUGGCCUGACACCACUUUUGCUGGGUGUACAUCGACAAAAAGAGCAAAUGGUGAAAUUUUUAAUCAAGAAAAAAGCUAAUUUAAAUGCACUUGAUAGAUUUGGAAGAACUGCUCUCAUACUUGCUGUGUGUUGUGGAUCAGCAAGUAUAGUUAGCAUUCUACUUCAGCAAGAUGUCGAUGUAUUCUCUCAAGAUGCAUCUGGAUGGACUGCUGAAGAUUACGCAAUUUCCAGUCAUCAUGACAUAAUUUGCCAGUUACUUUCUGACUACAAAGAAAAACAGAUGUCAAAAAACUCUUCUCAAAACAGCAAUCCAGAACAAGACUUAAAGAUGACAUCAGAGGAAGAGCCUCAAAGGCUUAAAGGAAGUGAAAAUAGACAGCCAGAGAAAAUGUCUCAAGAACCAGACACAAAUAAGGAUUGUGAGAGAGAGGCUGAAGAAGAAAUGCAGAAGCAUGGAAGUAAUCAUGUGGAAUCACCAGAAAACCUGACUAACGGUGUCGCUCCUGGCUGUGGUGAUUAUGGCUUAAUUCAACGAAGAAGGAGCAGAAAACCUGAAAAUCAGCAAUCUUCCAGCACAGAGAAUGAACAGUAUCACAGGCCUGAAAAGAAACCUAAUGAAAACAACAAGGUCAAAAGCCAAAUACAUUCAGUGGAUGAUCUUGAUGACAUAAGUUGGCCAUCCGAAGUAGCCUCAGAGGAUUAUGAUUCGCUUUACUCUAAUUAUGAGACUUAUAUGUUGCUCAAUGAACAACUCAACAUGGAUUUUAAUGAUUCUGCCAGCCUGUCAAAAAUCCAGGAUGCAGUUCUUUCCGAUGAACACUUACUAGAACUUCAAAAUAAUCAGUGGGAACAACUUACCAUAGAAAUGGAACAAAUGGAAAAUAUGAUUCAUGUACUAGAGAAGGAGCUAUCUGAAACAAAGGAAGCACAAUUACCGUUACUGAAUCAAAAAGGUGAAUUUGAGCAAGAAUUCUCCACUUUGAGAUCGGCCUUAAAACAAGAAGAAGAGAAGACAAGGAAUGCAGAUAUGUUGUACAAAAAAGGUAGAGAGGAGUUAAAAAGAAAACAAGAGGAAUAUGAAAAAGAAUUUGAAAUGAACCAACAACACGAACAGACUUUGCAAACACGAGCCAUGGAAUUCAGGACAGUAAGAAACAAUUUGGAUCAGAUUGCUCUUUGCCAAAUGAAAGACGAAGAUCUCUUGCAUGAAAAUUGCAUAUUGCAAGAAGAACUUGCCAUGCUAAGACUGGAACUGGACAUAAUAAAACAUCAGAACCAGCUAAAGGAAAAGAAAUAUUUAGAAGACAUUGAAAGUGAAAAAGAAAAGAAUGACAGUCUUCGAAAUGCUAUAAAACUGACUGAGGAAACAUUAGCAAAAACAGUGUUUCAGUACAGUGAACAGCUUAUCACUUUGACAACUGAGAAUAAAAUGCUCAGUUCUGAGCUCAAGAAUGAAAAACGCCAGAAGGAAAGGCUGGAAAUGGAAAUGUAGUCAUCUCAUGGUAGACCAGCUGCUACCCUACAUGAUGGUGACCAAAGUCAGGUAGCAGAAAGAGACCUCUUUCCAGAGAACAAGACAUGAACGGGUUUAUUUACAGGAAGCAAUCAAUUCUCAUGUGUCUAACCUAAAAGAUAACAGUGAGAUUCUUUGUGAACGACUCUCUAAUGCUGACAGUAAAAUUAACAGCCUAAAGAUUAAGUGUCAUCAUACAAGGUAAACUCUGAGAGGAAAGAUCGGGCAGGCCUCCAUCUUUUUUGUUUGGGUGACUCAUCCAUUCCAGCCUGAAGACUUUGGAGUAUACAAACUGACCAGGGGCGGAAGAGAUCCCACACAGCACAGCUGCUUGAACAAAUCAUGGCCAGACUUAUUCUGUAAGCAGGCCCCUGAUCCUGUUUCUCCUCACUGGAUGGAACUUCCCAAAUGGGACCUGCAGCUACCUCCAGCAGUGUUCCUCUGCCAACAAGAGAUUUGAAUCCCCUCCUGGGACAGAGGUCCCAAAGGGGAGAGGGGGGUCGGCACCUUUGAGUUUGGGCAACCAGCUGUCCUGGCCUGCGGGCUUUGGAGAGCCCAAGCUGACCAGGGGUGGAAGUGGUACCCCAGUGCAGCAAAGCCACCCUACAAAAACUUGGCCAGUCUUUUUUAAGUCAGUCCCUGACCACAUUUCUUGUCACUGGGUGGAGCCUUUCAAUCACGGUCUCCAGCUACCUUCACUGCUGUUCUCUGGCUGCAAGAGGUUUCAGGCCUCCCUGGGUCAGAGCUCCCAGGGGGAGGACCAGACUAUCAUAUUUGCUGUUUGGGAAACUCAGCCAUUUCAGCCUUAGGGCUUCAGAGUGCCUGAGGCAACCAGGGGCUGAAGUGAACCCCAGCACAGCACAGCUGCUCUGCAAAAAUAUGACCAGACUUCUUUUUUAAGCAAGACCCUUUUCUUGUUCCUCUUGUCUAAGCAUGACUUCUCAACUUGUCCAGCCACCUCUUGUAGGUGUGACUAGAUUGGCAACAAGUUUGUACCUCAGUUGUACAGAGCUCCCAGAGGAAGGGGCAGGCUAUCAUCUUUGCCUUUUUGCAGACUUUAUUAGUGAUACUCUCAGGUACUGGAAACUCUGAGGCAAGUAGGGACUGUAGUGGACCCCAGCAUACCACAGAAGCCCUACGGAAAAGUGGCCAGACUGUUAGGUGGGUGCCAGUUUCCAUAGCUCCUUGAUGGGCAGGUUCUCCCAGCCUGGAUCUCUGCAAACAUUCCACUGGAGCUAUUAAGCCAGUUGCAACUCAGCAAUUCCCUGGACAGAGCUUCCAGGAGCAGCUGAAAUCCUCUCUGCCACUGCCUCUGAAGUGGAACUGUCCUUGCUACUCUCAGAAUAUCAAUGGAGCAAAGACCCUAAGUGCCAUAUUGACACCUCCAAGAAGCUGCAGUUGACUUAAGGAGCAAGCCAUUCCAUCUCCCAUGGGUACCAUACACAUGAUCAUCAGGGAACCCUGGCUUGAGCCCACAACACAGACCCUCCAUCCUGGGCUGAUUGCAUGAAGUAAUUGCUAACCCGCAUCUCUGCGGUAGAGCCCACAGGAAACCAGCAAAGUGGUGAAGCAGCAGUCCAGCUGAUGUGGAGCCCUCUGGGGAGGGCAGGGACAGCUGUCUCUCUAAGAUUGCUCUUAUGAAUCACUUUACCCCAGCACUUUAGGAGUGCUGAGGUCAGACUGGCCACAUCUCAUGUGCAAGACUGCCCAGCAUAGAUCAGGUCUGAGAGUCUCCCUCUUAAAAAGGGGGACUUAUUUGAAAAAGGAGUCUGGCCAUGUCUUUUAGAGCAGCUGUGCUGUGCUGCGGCUUCACUCUUGAGAGACUUUUUCUCUCAGACCUGAUCUAUGCUGGGCAGUCUUGCACAUGAGAUGGGGCUGGUCUGACCUCAGCACUCCUUAGUCUGCUUGCCUCUCCCAGGGCCCCAGCCUGGCCACACCUGCUUAUACCAUAGCUUCUGUGCCAGUGGACCAUGCCUGACCAGCGGAGAGCUGUAGCAAGGUGGCCCCCACAGGCAUAUGCCAGUUUGUACAUUGCCUCUCCAUACUGCAGCUCUUUAUAUGGAAACUUACUACAUCACUUUGGUGGUGUGUGUUUACAUGGGGCUUGCUUCAUACAAGAUUUUUCUACACUUGCCCUACCAGCACAGAGGAGUGCAACACACACCCCAGCCCAUGCCAACUGCUAUUGAAGAUGGAGCCAUGGCAGGCACAGAGCCAAAAAUCUCCACCUCCUCCAGCACCUCGCCCUUAAGGUAAUGCUGUACAGAGAAAAAGGGACCCUCUUACAUCCUGAGCAACCACUGAUGCUUGGGGAGGCUCACAGAAGGCACCGAGGCCUGUGCUGGCCAGCACCCCACCCCAAACCAAUAGAGCUCCAGUACAACAGCACACAAUAGGGGCCCCCUGGCCCUCAUCUUAGCUGUCUUGCCUCCACCACGGUGAACACCCACAGGGUUACAGGCACUCUGCUGCAGGUGCAGCACUUUGGUCCCUCAGUACAGUGGACUCCAAACCUGGAGGAGCCAGAAAACAAAGUUGGGGCCCAAUAAAAUUUCCUCAGAGUUAAAGCACAUAGUCUAGGAAUUGGUAGCUGAACAUCAGCCCCCUAAAAUCUUCCAGAAGCAAAGCUGAAUACACCUAACACCACAAUCAAACUAUAAAGGUCAUGUAAUCAAAUACAAUAAAAUAAAAAUACCCUGUCUAAAGGUCAGCAUCCUCAAAGGUUGAAGGUUGAUAAUCCCAUAAACAUAAGAAAGAAUCUGUACAAGAGCACUGAAAACUCAAAAACUCAGUGUGCCUUCUUUCCUCCAAAUGAUUGCACUCUCUGGCAAGUGUUCAGAACUGGGCUGAGGCUGAGAUGUCUGAAAUGAUACAAGUAGAAUUCAGAAUAUGGGUAGAAACAAAGUUCACUGAGUGAAAGAAGUACAUUGUAAUCCAAUGCAAGGAAGCUAAACAUCAUUGUAAAACAUUGCAGGAGGUAACAGAAAAAAGAGCCAGUAUAAAGAACAUAUCUGACCUGAUAGAGCUGAGAAGCACAGUACAAGACUUUUCAUAAUACAGUACAUGGUGAUUGGGUGUGACUGUAUUAUGAAAAUUCUUGUAGUGUGUGUGGGCACCCGAGAGUGCCCUGUAAGCAGGUGUGGCCAGGCUGGGGCCCUGGGAGAGGCAAGCAGACUAAGGAGUGCUGAGGUCAGACCAGCCCCAUCUCAUGUGCAAGACCACCUAGCAGAAUAAACCAAGCAGAGGAGAGAAUCUCAGAAGUUGAAAACUGGCAUUCAGAAAUAAAACAUGCAGACAAGAAUGGGGGAAAAAGAAUGGAAAGGAAUAAACAAAACCUCUGAGAAAUAUGGGAUUAUGUAAAGAGAUCAAAUCUAUGACUGAUUCAUAUACCAGAAAGAGAUGAGAAUGGAACCAACUUGGAAAACAUAUUUCAGAAUAUCGUUAGAAUAUUCCCAAGUGAGCCAGACAAGCCAACAUUCAAAUUCAGGAAAUCCGGAGAACCUCAGUAAGAUAUGCCACGAGAAGAUCAUCUCCAAGACACAUAAUCAUUAGAUUCUCCGAGGUCAAAAAUGAAAGAAAAAAUGUUAAAGUCACCUAUGGAGAAAGGUGAGGUUACCUCCAAAGGGAAACCCAUCAGACUAACAGCGGACUUCUCAGCUGGAACCCCGAAAGCCAGAAGAGAUUGUGAAGCUCAAUAUUCAACUUCUUAAAAGAAAUUUCAACCCAGAGUUUUAUGUGUAGUUAAGCUAAGCUUCAUAAAUGAAGGAGAAAUAAGAUCCUUUUCAGAGAAGCAAAUGCUGAGGGAAUUCAUUACCACCUGCCUCACAAGAGCUCCUGAAGGAAGCACUGUGGAAAGAAAAAACCAUCACCAGCCACUAUAAAAACGCACUGAAAUACACAGACCAGUGAUGCUAAAAACCAGCCACACACACAUGUCUGCAAAAUAAGCAGCCAACAGCAUGGAUCAAAUCCACAUACAUCAUUACUAACCUUAAAUGUAAAUGGGCUAAAUGCUCCAAUUGAAAGACACAGAAGGGCAAGCUGGAUAAAGAACCAUGACCCAUUCCAGUAUGCUCUUUAAGACACCCAUCACACAUGCAGUGCCACACAUAGGCUCAAUAUAAAAGAAUGGAGAAAAAUCAUUUAAGCAAAUGGAAAACAGAAAAAAGCAGGUGUUGCAAUCCUAGUUUCUGACAAAACAGAUUUUAUACCAAUAAAGAUUUAAAAAGGAAGAGAAAAAUAUUACAAAGGCGGCCCUGGCCUUUGAUAAAUCUCAAUAUUGCUUAAUAUUAACCUAGGCUAUCUUCAUUUCUCAAACCAAUAGGAAAAUUUGUGGAAGUUGGGGAGCUUCUCCCCUCUAGAGAGUCCCUGAUCUCCCAAAAUUUGGUUGAAAUCUAAGGUUGAUUUUGCUGUACAACUCCUUUUCUGAAGGGUUACUCGCUUCCAACACAAAAGGCAAGCUUUCCUGCUUCCAUGAUGGUGGAGAGCAGGCACUUCCUUUCUUGAGUUUCAGCUUGCUUCUGACAAGGAAGGUCCUGAGGAUUUUAUAUAAAAGUGAAACCCUUGAUUUUUUGAGAUCUGUUCUGCCUUACAGCUGUGCCUGCAUGUUAGGCCCUAGAAGCUGCAUGCUUCCUUGGCUCUGUUCCUUAAAAUGUUCCACCAUUAAGCCAGUAAGUCAAUUUAAAAAAAACUCUUUAGGAAAAUCACAAUUUAGAGUGUCUGCUUUCCCUGGCCAUGUUAACUGAACUUUUAGAGCAUUUUUUUUUUUUUUUGGCUUGAGUAAAAUGUAAAUCCUUCAUCUUGUUUCACCUAAGAGUUGUCCCUUUAAAAAUGCAAAUUUGGAGUUUCCUCAUUGAUAAUUGUUUACAGUGGGAAACAAAUAAUCAAAAGACUAAUGUUCUAAAAUGGAGAAGAAAAACUGGCAAAUGAAAAAUCUUAUGAAUCCCAAAGAUCUACUUCUGUGUGUCCAUAUGUCUAAGUAUUUAUACGACAUAUGUAUAUAAUGUUUGAGUACCAACAAUAUGACAGGGUUCUAAUUUGGCUUUCAAAAAAAGUUGUUAAAUGUUUUUUCAGAGAGUUGGAAACUUAUUCCUGAAUACUUUCUCAAGUUCACAUGACAAGUAGACUUUUGACCAAUCAGUUGGCUUUAAACUGAUGGGUUAAAAAGUAAAUUCAAAAUGUCUUUACAAUUGUCAGCAUACAUUAUUGUUUAGAUGUAUUAGUCAACUUUUUUUUCUUUCUUCAUUUUUUAAAUGUUCUGGUCAAGUAGUUUUAUAUUUAUCUCUGCUAGCUACUAUAAGAUGUCAAAGUUUGGCACAAGGGUUAUAAACUACCCACCCGAAACAAAGAUUUUUCUUCAAGUGAUUAUUGAUAAAUAAGACACUUGAUAUUGUUGAUUUAAUAAGAACAGCUCAAUCCAGAGUCAUCAGUUAAAAAAAAACUAUUAAAUAAUAAUAAAUUAGGUAAUUGUAAUGAACUUUUCAUAUAAGUUAUAUCUUUUUUUUGUCUUUUAAUUUUUUAUUGGAUUUUAGGUUUUGGGGUACAUUAGCAGAGCAUGCAAGACACUUGCGUAGGUACGCACAUGGCAGUGUGCUUUGCUUUGCUUCUCCCCUUCACCCACAUUUGGCAUUUCUCUCCAGGCUAUCCCUCCCCACCUCCCCCUCCCACUGGCCCUCCCCUUUUCCCCCCAAUAGACCCCAGUGUUUAGUACUCCCCUUUCUGUGUCCAUGUGUUCUCAUUUUUCAUCACCCACCUAUGAGUGAGAAUAUGCGGUGUUUCAUUUUCUGUUCUUGUGUCAGUUUGCUGAGGAUGAUGUUCUCCAAAUUCAUCCAUGUCCCUACAGACGACACAAACUCAUCAUUUCUGAUUGCUGCAUAAUAUUCCAUGGUGUAUAUGUGCCACAUUUUUCCAAUCCAGUCUAUUAUCAAUGGGCAUUUGGGUUGAUUCCAGGUCUUUGCUAUUGUAAACAGUGCUGCAAUGAACAUUCGUGUACAUGUGUCCUUAUAGUAGAACGAUUUAUAGUCUUUUGGAUAUAUACCCAGUAAUGGGAUUGCUGGGUCAAAUGGAAUUUCUAUUUCUAAGGCCUUGAGGAAUUGCCACACUGUCUUCCACAACGGUUGAACUAAUUUACACACCCACCAACAGUGUAAAAGUGUUCCUUUUUCUCCACAUCCUCUCCAGCAUCUGUUGUCUCCAGAUUUUUUAAUGAUCGCCAUUCUAACUGGCGUGAGAUGGUAUCACAGUGUGGUUUUGAUUUUCAUCUCUCUGAUGACCAGUGACGAUGAGCAUUUUUUUAUAUGAUUGUUGGUCUCAUGUAUGUCUUCUUUCGUAAAGUGUCUGUUCAUAUCCUUUGCCCACUUUUGAAUGGGCUUGUUUGUUUUUUUCCUGUAAAUCUGUUUGAGUUCUUUGUAAAUUCUGGAUAUCAGCCCUUUGUCAGAUGGGUAAACUGGAAAAAUUUUUUCUCAUUCGGUUGGUUGCCGAUCCACUCUAGUGACUGUUUCUUUUGCUGUGCAGAAGCUGUGGAGUUUCAUUAGGUCCCAUUUGUCUAUUUUGGCUUUUGUUGCCAAUGCUUUUGGUGUUUUGUUCAUGAAGUCCUUGCCUACUCCUAUGUCCUGGAUGGUUUUGCCUAGAUUUCCUUCUAGGGUUUUUAUGGUGCCAGGUCUUAUGUUUAAGUCUUUAAUCCAUCUGAAGUUAAUUUUAGUGUAAGGUGUCAGGAAGGG